rnacentral:rRNA from 1 species
CUGAUGUGGGGGAUAACCAUUGGAAACGAUGGCUAAUACCGCAUGAUGCCUACGGGCCAAAGAGGGGGACCUUCGGGCCUCUCGCGUCAGGAUAUGCCUAGGUGGGAUUAGCUAGUUGGUGAGGUAAGGGCUCACCAAGGCGACGAUCCCUAGCUGGUCUGAGAGGAUGAUCAGCCACACUGGAACUGAGACACGGUCCAGACUCCUACGGGAGGCAGCAGUGGGGAAUAUUGCACAAUGGGCGCAAGCCUGAUGCAGCCAUGCCGCGUGUGUGAAGAAGGCCUUCGGGUUGUAAAGCACUUUCAGUCGUGAGGAAGGUGGUAGUGUUAAUAGCACUAUCAUUUGACGUUAGCGACAGAAGAAGCACCGGCUAACUCCGUGCCAGCAGCCGCGGUAAUACGGAGGGUGCGAGCGUUAAUCGGAAUUACUGGGCGUAAAGCGCAUGCAGGUGGUUUGUUAAGUCAGAUGUGAAAGCCCGGGGCUCAACCUCGGAAUUGCAUUUGAAACUGGCAGACUAGAGUACUGUAGAGGGGGGUAGAAUUUCAGGUGUAGCGGUGAAAUGCGUAGAGAUCUGAAGGAAUACCGGUGGCGAAGGCGGCCCCCUGGACAGAUACUGACACUCAGAUGCGAAAGCGUGGGGAGCAAACAGGAUUAGAUACCCUGGUAGUCCACGCCGUAAACGAUGUCUACUUGGAGGUUGUGGCCUUGAGCCGUGGCUUUCGGAGCUAACGCGUUAAGUAGACCGCCUGGGGAGUACGGUCGCAAGAUUAAAACUCAAAUGAAUUGACGGGGGCCCGCACAAGCGGUGGAGCAUGUGGUUUAAUUCGAUGCAACGCGAAGAACCUUACCUACUCUUGACAUCCAGAGAACUUUCCAGAGAUGGAUUGGUGCCUUCGGGAACUCUGAGACAGGUGCUGCAUGGCUGUCGUCAGCUCGUGUUGUGAAAUGUUGGGUUAAGUCCCGCAACGAGCGCAACCCUUAUCCUUGUUUGCCAGCGAGUAAUGUCGGGAACUCCAGGGAGACUGCCGGUGAUAAACCGGAGGAAGGUGGGGACGACGUCAAGUCAUCAUGGCCCUUACGAGUAGGGCUACACACGUGCUACAAUGGCGCAUACAGAGGGCGGCCAACUUGCGAAAGUGAGCGAAUCCCAAAAAGUGCGUCGUAGUCCGGAUUGGAGUCUGCAACUCGACUCCAUGAAGUCGGAAUCGCUAGUAAUCGUGGAUCAGAAUGCCACGGUGAAUACGUUCCCGGGCCUUGUACACACCGCCCGUCACACCAUGGGAGUGGGC